AUUCAGCCUCCAAACCUGCAGACGCCAGACCAUCAUCCAGCUCCUUGUCUGCUGGACCCACGACAUCCACCGGUUACACUCCUGAAGACAUGGAGACAACAGUUUGGGAGUGUGGCCGGUGCAGGGAACCUGACCCUCCCGAGAGCGCGGAGGGAUUGGUGUCGUGGGUCCAGUGUGACAGCUGCCACACAUGGUACCACGCCAUGUGUGUGGGUUGGGACGAGGAGCUGGAUGAUGAGGAGUAUUUUAAAUGUUAUUUGUGUCCGGAGUAAUUUUGUAUUUUAUUUUUGUCUGUUUUGUAUUUAAAUAAAUGUUCAUAUUUUCAAAGAU